rnacentral:rRNA from 1 species
AGUCGAGCGGUAGAGGGGUGCUUGCACCUCUUGAGAGCGGCGGACGGGUGAGUAAUAUCUAGGAAUCUGCCUGGUAGUGGGGGAUAACGUUCGGAAACGGACGCUAAUACCGCAUACGUCCUACGGGAGAAAGCAGGGGACCUUCGGGCCUUGCGCUAUCAGAUGAGCCUAGAUCGGAUUAGCUAGUUGGUGAGGUAAUGGCUCACCAAGGCUACGAUCCGUAACUGGUCUGAGAGGAUGAUCAGUCACACUGGAACUGAGACACGGUCCAGACUCCUACGGGAGGCAGCAGUGGGGAAUAUUGGACAAUGGGCGAAAGCCUGAUCCAGCCAUGCCGCGUGUGUGAAGAAGGUCUUCGGAUUGUAAAGCACUUUAAGUUGGGAGGAAGGGCAGUUACCCAAUACGUGAUUGUCUUGACGUUACCGACAGAAUAAGCACCGGCUAACUCUGUGCCAGCAGCCGCGGUAAUACAGAGGGUGCAAGCGUCAAUCGGAAUUACUGGGCGUAAAGCGCGCGUAGGUGGUUUGUUAAGUUGAAUGUGAAAUCCCCGGGCUCAACCUGGGAACUGCAUCCAAAACUGGCAAGCUAGAGUAUGGUAGAGGGCAGUUGGUAUUUGCUGUGUACCGGUGAUAUGCGAACAUACAGGGAGG